rnacentral:tRNA from 1 species
ACCUGGCUGCUCAGUCAGAAGAGCAUGCGACUCUUGAUCUCACGGUCGUGAGUUCAAGCCCCAUGUCAGGUG